GAUGAACGCUGGCGGCGUGCCUAAUACAUGCAAGUCGAGCGAACAGACGAGGAGCUUGCUCCUCUGACGUUAGCGGCGGACGGGUGAGUAACACGUGGAUAACCUACCUAUAAGACUGGGAUAACUUCGGGAAACCGGAGCUAAUACCGGAUAAUAUAUUGAACCGCAUGGUUCAAUAGUGAAAGACGGUUUUGCUGUCACUUAUAGAUGGAUCCGCGCCGCAUUAGCUAGUUGGUAAGGUAACGGCUUACCAAGGCAACGAUGCGUAGCCGACCUGAGAGGGUGAUCGGCCACACUGGAACCGAGACACGGUCCAGACUCCUACGGGAGGCAGCAGUAGGGAAUAUUCCGCAAUGGGCGAAAGCCUGACGGAGCAACGCCGCGUGAGUGAUGAAGGUCUUCGGAUCGUAAAGCUCUGUUAUUAGGGAAGAACAAAUGUGUAAGUAACUAUGCACGUCUUGACGGUACCUAAUCAGAAAGCCACGGCUAACUACGUG
rnacentral:rRNA from 1 species